rnacentral:sRNA from 1 species
CAUGCCUUAGAUGAAUGUAGACUCAAAAGUAUAUACAAUGCAACACACACUUCCUGAGCCCUCCCCCAAACUUAAAUCACAUAGUCCACUGUGUGACUAAACUUGGAAGAGAGUACUCAGGACAAAUCCAAUCAUAGAAACAAAAUAAAGAACAAAUCACAAGAGAUGAUAUAAUACAAUGGUGAAGUGAGGCGCUUACCUUAGUCGAAGAAUGAACGAAGUUGGUCGUCAAUGGCUGAUGUUCAUCCACUGAGAACGUCAAGAACCCUAACCCCAUGGUAUCCAGCUCAAAGUCUGUGAGUCUUUGAUACAUCUCCACUUGCAGUGUGGAAAGAAACUCGAUUGUCUCCUCCUUAUAGGCAACGUAAGGGUAAGACAUGAGUGUCUCCAGAUACCUCGUUCCCCAGAAGUCGUUCAUCUCAAAGAAUCUGAUAUACUCCUACACUGUAACCUCGUCGAAUUUGUUCAACAGCUUCGUCUCCUUGCGCCAUGACUCUGGCUCAUACUCAGUUUCGAUAUCCUCAUCAAUCAGCUCAUAUAUACUCGACAUCGCUCUCUUUCCUCUAGCGAUUUCAGCUCUUCUCUGAUUACGUCGAGCUGUGGAGCGUUCAAAUUCAUCGCUGAAACUCUCGUAAACAUGUUCCUCUCUCUGGUCUAGUGGACCAGGACUCAGCUUCAUCCACAUUAUAAUCAGGAUCCAUAGAGGAUUCUCCACUAUAGUUACUCAUGAUGAAACCUGAAGACAAACGAAACUCAAUGAUAAACGUUAGUACUUUAGUAACAGCAAAACCAAAAACACAAUCUAAACCAGUGUACCGGUCGAGUAAACCGGUCGAAUGAAACCGUUGGUUUGGAAAAA